AAUCCCUGGUAACGGGCAAAGAGACAUCUUGGUGGUGUUGUUUUUAUAUCAGUCAGGGCCAGAGCAGAUGGCAGUCCUUUGUUCAUCCUAGCUUGAUGCCUGGCUUAGUGACCAACACUGUUUUAUGCCUAGGACUCAUAA